CAUUUAUGUAGCCAUGCUGAAAGAACAGUUAAUUACUUUCGAGUUUCAAAUGCUAGUAAUGGCUGUUCAACUGCCAUCAAAAUGCAAACUCAGGAGUAAGGUCAUAAAGGACAUGGAUCUGGGUUUCUCAGGGUAGCUCUCGUGGAAGGCCCAAACCAGAAGCGUGAACGUGAACAUUUUCAUCUGGCUCCCAAGCAUUCCUGUGGGCCGUAAUCUUCCUAGUCAGUCAGAUGUGUCCUUUAGGGGAACCUCCUACACACCAGCGAGUACCUACACCAGAUAAGGAAAAAACCAUGAAGGAACAAGGACAUAUUUAAAAAGGUGCUUCUAUCCUCAGAGGUAGUAAACCAAGAAUGCACGAUGUAGAGAGAGACUUUAAAAGAAAAUUAUAAAACAGACAGACAGGACAGGAGAGCCAGGAGAAAAUUGUAAUGGGCCAGGAGCAGAUUAUAAAAGCGAUGGAGGAGAUGUUGAAGUCCCUAAUCAUGCUGCAGGCAGAAUGCAUGCUCAGUCCCACCUGCAGCAGCCAAUACAGAACUGCCUUCCAUGCCCUCCCCAAACGCCUC